CAACCCCCAAGCCCUAUUUGCUUGACGUUGGGAGAUUACAGCCCUGCUGUAACUCCUUAAAUCUAGCGGCGGAGCUAGGUGUUGCUUCUAAGCGUAGUAAAUCUCAUUCUCGCUUCUGGAGCUACCCUGUAUCUUGCCGUAAAACCCCCAAUUUUCUAGU
rnacentral:misc_RNA from 1 species